UUCACCAGGAGGACGAUCCCGUCAAACUGCUAGGUGACCGUGUGUCUGCCGGACAUGACUUGGCCAACGGGCGCUUGCUGCUAUGGUUGAGCUGACACACACUUUUACACAUAUGUUGGCGAUGUUUUUAUGCAAAAGAGGCGUUCAGGGUGUCCUGGCUGACGGAACAAAGUUUAUCCAAGAACUGGAGACAGGAAACCUGCGACCGGUGCCAGAGAGUCGUCUGUGGAAACAUAAAACUCAGAGCGAGACAGACACACGGAGAGGGUGACGGGUUAAUGCAGUCUGACAGAGGACCACUGCUGAUGUCCAGCUACUAAUGUACUAGCUCAACUACCACGAUGAACCAUGAAUAAAGAAAGAAGAAAACUUUGCAAACCAA